CCACUUUUCGAUCGAAUUUCCUCACCUCCACCGUCUAGUAUCUAAAUAAUAUUGUGUAGAUCAUCUCUGCAAAAUUUCAGCCAAUUUGGUAAUCGUUAAGGCCCUCAAACUCGAAAAACAAAUGGAUGGACUGAAUUCUGUCUAGUUGUGUUCAUACUAGAAAAACUCGAGUUUGAGGGCCUUAACGAUCACCAAAUUGGCUGAAAUUUUGCAGAGAUGAUCUACACAAUAUUAUCUAGAUACUAGAUGGUGGAGAUGAGGAAAUUCGAUCGGAAAGUGGUGCAAAAAUGGAAAUCCGCACCGAAACCUUCGGUGCGGACGUCCGCAGCCAAGAAGGCAUGUAUAUAAAUAUAUUUAUAUAUAUAUAUGUGUGUGUGUGUGUGUGUAUAUAUUUGUGGAGAUAAUGUCUCUUUACUAGCCCAAUAUUAUUUAGUCUAGUGGCAUAAGUUUCUCUUUGUAAACGAGAAGUUGUGAGUUCGACUCACAAUAUUGUAACACAUUAAAUGUGUAUUUAAUCCAAAAAAAAUAAAAAAUUCUUUACUACAAAUUUUGGUACCUCACUUCUUAUUCCAACAAAUACAUAGGUUGUGAGUUCGACUCACAAUAUUGUAACACAUUAAUUGUGCAUUUGAUCAAAAAAAAAAAAUCUAUUUACUACAAAUUUUGGCACCUCACUUCUCAUUCCUACAAAUACUUAGCACCUCACCUCACUUCUUAAUGAUUCAUCGGAAUAGGUCAAAAUAAGGGUCAUUAUAGUGAAAAAAAAAAAAACAGAAAUAAUUGAGAAUAACUACUUAGAGCAAACUUUAAUAACAUAUCAGCUUUGGUGAGACUGAUAAAGUUGCUCUUAGGCAGUGGGAUGUAUAAUACAGUAAGCCAAAUUUAACCACUCAACUUUCUUUUAAGGUGAUCGAGAUCCCGUGCAAAUGCACGAGUAAAACGCUAAUAUACGAUAAACAGAGCUUCGUGCGUUGUAAAAACCUGUGUGUUUGAAUGUCAGUGAAUUCCCGAGAAUUUAAUCAAAA
rnacentral:lncRNA from 1 species